rnacentral:rRNA from 1 species
GAUAAACGCUGGCGGCGUGCCUAAUACAUGCAAGCCGAGCGAACGGACGAGAAGCUUGCUUCUCUGAUGUUAGCGGCGGACGGGUGGGUAACACGUGGAUAACCUACCUAUAAGACUGGGAUAACUUCGGGAAACCGGAGCUAAUACCGGAUAAUAUUUUGAACCGCAUGGUUCAAAAGUGAAAGACGGUCUUGCUGUCACUUAUAGAUGGAUCCGCGCUGCAUUAGCUAGUUGGUAAGGUAACGGCUUACCAAGGCAACGAUGCAUAGCCGACCUGAGAGGGUGAUCGGCCACACUGGAACUGAGACACGGUCCAGACUCCUACGGGAGGCAGCAGUAGGGAAUCUUCCGCAAUGGGCGAAAGCCUGACGGAGCAACGCCGCGUGAGUGAUGAAGGUCUUCGGAUCGUAAAACUCUGUUAUUAGGGAAGAACAUAUGUGUAAGUAACUGUGCACAUCUUGACGGUACCUAAUCAGAAAGCCACGGCUAACUACGUGCCAGCAGCCGCGGUAAUACGUAGGUGGCAAGCGUUAUCCGGAAUUAUUGGGCGUAAAGCGCGCGUAGGCGGUUUUUUAAGUCUGAUGUGAAAGCCCACGGCUCAACCGUGGAGGGUCAUUGGAAACUGGAAAACUUGAGUGCAGAAGAGGAAAGUGGAAUUCCAUGUGUAGCGGUGAAAUGCGCAGAGAUAUGGAGGAACACCAGUGGCGAAGGCGACUUUCUGGUCUGUAACUGACGCUGAUGUGCGAAAGCGUGGGGAUCAAACAGGAUUAGAUACCCUGGUAGUCCACGCCGUAAACGAUGAGUGCUAAGUGUUAGGGGGUUUCCGCCCCUUAGUGCUGCAGCUAACGCAUUAAGCACUCCGCCUGGGGAGUACGACCACAAGGUUGAAACUCAAAGGAAUUGACGGGGACCCGCACAAGCGGUGGAGCAUGUGGUUUAAUUCGAAGCAACGCGACGAACCUUACCAAAUCUUGACAUCCUUUGACAACUCUAGAGAUAGAGCCUUCCCCUUCGGGGGACAAAGUGACAGGUGGUGCAUGGUUGUCGUCAGCUCGUGUCGUGAGAUGUUGGGUUAAGUCCCGCAACGAGCGCAACCCUUAAGCUUAGUUGCCAUCAUUAAGUUGGGCACUCUAAGUUGACUGCCGGUGACAAACCGGAGGAAGGUGGGGAUGACGUCAAAUCAUCAUGCCCCUUAUGAUUUGGGCUACACACGUGCUACAAUGGACAAUACAAAGGGCAGCGAAACCGCGAGGUCAAGCAAAUCCCAUAAAGCUGUUCUCAGUUCGGAUUGUAGUCUGCAACUCGACUACAUGAAGCUGGAAUCGCUAGUAAUCGUAGAUCAGCAUGCUACGGUGAAUACGUUCCCGGGUCU